AUUGAACGCUGGCGGAAUGCUUUACACAUGCAAGUCGAACGGCAGCACGGGGGCAACCCUGGUGGCGAGUGGCGAACGGGUGAGUAAUACAUCGGAACGUGCCCAGUCGUGGGGGAUAACGUAGCGAAAGCUACGCUAAUACCGCAUACGAACUAUGGUUGAAAGCGGGGGAUCGCAAGACCUCGCGCGAUUGGAGCGGCCGGUGGCAGAUUAGGUAGUUGGUGGGGGAAAGGCUCACCAAGCCGUAGAUCUGUAGCUGGUCUGAGAGGACGACCGCCCACACUGGGACUGAGACACGGCCCAGCCUCCAACGGGAGGCAGCAGUGGGUAAUUUUGGACAAUGGGCGCAAGCCUGAUCCAGCCAUUCCGCGUGCAGGAUGAAGGCCCUCGGGUUGUAAACUGCUUUUGUACGGAACGAAACGGCUCCGGCUAAUACCUGGAGCUAAUGACGGUACCGUAAGAAUAAGCACCGGCUAACUACGUGCCAGCAGCCGCCGUAAUAC
rnacentral:rRNA from 1 species